UACUUCUCACUCCCAGCCUCUCUCAAAUCUCGAUUUUUACUCUCUCCUUCGUCUUCUUGCUCUCUCGAUUCUUCUUCUUAGUCUCUCCCUCUCAGAUUUCUUCUUCUCCCAAAAACCUCUCAGAGCCCAGCACCACCGCGAUGACCUCGACCCAGAUGGAGGACGCCGUACGACAUCGCACUGCCAUCAACGAUUACCUGAAGAGGUUACUCCAGCAUAAGGAGCUCCAAGUCCGCGCAGUGUGAGAAAACUUGGGAGGAGCUAAGAAGGAUUUUGGGAAAACUGAAGAUUACUUGAAGUUGCUUCAAAGUGUUUGUUAGAUUAUAGGGGAAGUUCUGAGACCUCUCAAUUAUGGACAAUGUAAGUAAAGUUUGGACCUUUCUUUGUUUAGAACAUAAACAUAGUUCCUGGAAACUCUUGGUGAUUAUGAUUUUGUAAGACCAUGAUUUAAUCUCAAUUGCGUAAGAAUCUGUCUCGGUUAGGAAUUUCUGUUCCAAAGUGAAAUUGAUCAAUUGGGUGCUCAUUAAUUUUUUAUCUUGGUGGAAUUCAUGCCUCGGAAUUGUUGGAUUUAUGUGAGAAUGUAGUGAGUUGCAUGAUUAUGGUCCUCCAUUCUUCGCCGCCUAGAUUGGAGAUGCAAUGGUAAGGGCUACGUGGCGUUCCGGAAUUACAUUCGGAGGCCGACGAAUUGGGAGAAGGAUAGUCUGCGGACUCUGAGCCUCCAGACCACUCCGGGAAACAGGCUGCUUGAUGCAUCAGUGGGUGAUGGAUUCAAACUCCGAGUCCACUCUCACUUUUGUGUGAUGUCGAGAGCUGGACUCCUGGCAGGGAUGUGCAUAAUGGCAGUCAACCUUCAUCUCGUAGAAGUUUUGGCUCGAGUACUAGUGAUAAUGACCGCCUGCGUCAACGGGGUGAACAACCUACAUACUCUUUUGUAGGAAUGCAUUGCAUCUUUGAUCAGUGCAGAGCCUCGGUUACUGUUUUGAAGUUUGGGCACAUGAGCUCAGAUCUGCUUGCGUAUGGAGCAUCAGAUGGAACCUUGACAGUAUGCACUGUCUCUGAUCCUCCUUCAAUUCUCAAGCAUCUGAAUGGUCACUCCAAAGAUGUUACAGGUCUUUGUUCUAAACACCAUGUCUUGUUUAUUUUCAAACUUUGAUUUCUCGUCAAACAAUCAGUACAUUGCAUCCUCAUCGUUGGAUAAAACUGUGAGAGUAUGGGAGAUUUCAAAAGGCCUAUGCAUAAGAGUAAUAUAUGGAGUUUCUCCACAACUGUGUAUUCGUUUUCACCCUGUAAAUAACAACUUCCUUUCAGUUGGCAAUGCAGACAAAGAAAUUACGUACUGGGAGGACCAUUCAUAAAACAUCAUUUGACAGUCAAGUUACCGCUAUGGACCAUGCUCACACUGGACAGAUCAUUUUCUGUGGAGAUGGGACGGGGUUUAUAUAUUCUGUCAGUAUGAAUUCUCACACAGGAGUAUUAUCCCGCUCUCAUCGGCAUCGAAGUAGCAGCAGGCAGAAAUCUCCAGUCACAACUGUGGAGUCCCGAAGUUUUUCUCUGUUGGCUCGGGGCCCUGUGUUGCUGACAUGUACUUAAGAUGGAAGUUUGUCUUUCUUCAGUGUUGCGCUGGAAAUACAAGGUUAUUUGGCUCUUCAUUGCUCACUCAAAUUAACUCCACGAAUAUACAAUAUCCGGGCUCUUCAUGGGUUAUGGAAGCUGCAGUAGUUAUGGCACUUGUCCUUGCUAAUGGGGGAGGUGAAGGUCCUGACUGGCAAGACUUUGUUGGGAUUAUUGUCCUAUUAAUAAUCAAUUCAACCAUUAGUUUUGUAGAGGAGAAUAAUGCGGGAAAUGCUGCAUCAGCUCUUAUGGAACGUUUAUCUCCAAAGACAAGGGUAUGUCUCUUUGAUUGAUGCCUUCCGCUCACAGAGUUUGGCUAUGACAGUUUUAUGAGGUCUGCUGGUCAUGUUUUUCUAUAAAUUAAGGUAGAUCUUUUAUUUGUAGCUUGUAUC